CUUACCAAAUAAUCUUAACUAUACACAUUCUUCUAUUGUCCCAGAGUUUAUCCUUUGGAUUCUAUUUCUUUAAAACAUGUUCGCCAAAUGCAGAUGCCCCACAGUUUUGCCAUAAAGUGAACUGAUGCAGUAACUGCCUGUAUCCUGUGGAAUUAAAGACUUGUUCCUAGGCCUUAAAGAAGAUCGCCAUUCAACUCUUCCACAUCUCUCUCCCGGAGCUUCCAAAUGAUGACAGACUGACAAAUGUGAAUAUUCUUCCGAUUUUCAGGUUACCAUCAGCAAGAACACCGGCACUUUUCUUCGUCUCAAAAAAAGCCUGCACUGAAAAAGCCUGGACUGAAAAAGCAUGCUCAUAGAAACAAUGGAAUAAUUAUUUUAGAAAGGAACAAUGCCUACUUGUACAGCAUCAUAAAACAUUCAUAGACUGUGCAUGAUAGACAGAACCUCAAACAAAUGCUGUAUUUAAUAUUUUCUGAAGAUA